ensembl:snoRNA SNORA70 Small nucleolar RNA SNORA70
UUGUAGUCAAUUAAGAUGACCAGCCCUCAUGGGUGUAUAAAGCAACUGACUGGUUGAGUGACGCACUUUGUCCUCCCCUGUGCAAAGUGCUCCAAGGGACCACUGAGAUAUUG